rnacentral:rRNA from 1 species
AUUGAACGCUAGCGGCAGGCUUUACACAUGCAAGUCGAACGAGUGGCGGACGGGUGAGUAAUGUAUGGGAAACUGCCCGAUGGAGGGGGAUAACUACUGGAAACGGUAGCUAAUACCGCAUACUAUCGGAGGGGCCGAGAUGGGAUUAGCGAGUAGGUGGGGUAACGGCUCACCUAGGCAACGAUCCGUAGCUGGUCUGAGAGGAUGACCAGCCACACUGGAACUGCGACAAGGCCCAUACUCUUACGGGAGGCAGCAGUGGGGAAGUUUGGACAAUGGGAGCAAGCCUGAUGCAGCCAUCCCGCGUGUAUGAAGAAGGCCUUCGGGUUGUAAAGUACUUUCAGCAGAGAGGCGUUACUCGCAGAAUAAGCACCGGCUAACUACGUGCCAGCAGCCGCGGUAAUUC